rnacentral:lncRNA from 1 species
GGUAUGAUGAGCCACCUUGUUUGAGGCAAAAAUUUGCCUUCUGCAUUAGCCUUAAAACUCUGUUUUUGAUCUCUUCCCCUUCUUUCUCCACCAUUAGUCUUCUAAUGGUGUUUUCAAUGUUGACUCUCUCGACCCCAUGUUGUAACUGCAACCCGACCUUCCAAACAUCGCUUACAUAUCUUGCAUUCAUCAUUUGAUCAGAAGAACAUGGCAUACAAAUCAUAGGUACCCCCUCGCAGAUACUCUCCAAUGUAGAAUUCCAGCCAUUCAUUUGUGAAAUGUCCAAAACACACCAACUGCUUGAUGGGCAAGCACUUCUUUUUGAGGUGCCCAUUUAACAAUGUGUCCCCUACCAUUCAAGGUCUCAAGAAACCUACCAGGUAACGGUUCAAGCCAAUCUGAUCCAUGGACUAAUCUGGGUCGAACCACCCACAAGAAGGGUUGCUUGCUGUUGGCUAGUC